GUUUGAAUAUAUUUAUGUAAAGCUGAUUUUCAGACCAGUAAAAGUACCACAUGAUAUUAAGUAAAAGUACCACAUGAUAUUAAGUAAAAGUACCACAUGAUAUUAAGUAAAAGUACCACAUGAUAUUAAGUAAAAGUACCACAUGAUAUUAAGUAAAAGUACCACAUGAUAUUAAG